rnacentral:rRNA from 1 species
UACGUAGGGUGCGAGCGUUGUCCGGAAUUAUUGGGCGUAAAGAGCUUGUAGGCGGUCUGUCGCGUCUGCUGUGAAAAUCCGGGGCUCAACCCCGGACUUGCAGUGGGUACGGGCAGACUAGAGUGUGGUAGGGGAGACUGGAAUUCCUGGUGUAGCGGUGAAAUGCGCAGAUAUCAGGAGGAACACCGAUGGCGGAGGCAGGUCUCUGGGCCACUACUGACGCUGAGAAGCGAAAGCAUGGGGAGCGAACAGG